rnacentral:rRNA from 1 species
AGUGAACGCUGGCGGCGUGCUUAACACAUGCAAGUCGAACGAGAACGGAUUAUAGCUUGCUAUAAUUGUCAGCUAAGUGGCGCACGGGUGAGUAAUGUAUAGGUAAUAUGCCUCUUACUAAGGGAUAACAAAUGGAAACGUUUGCUAAUACCUUAUACUCCUUAUUAACAGAAGUUAAUAAGAGAAAGAUUUAUUGGUAAGAGAUUAGCCUGUAUUGUAUCAGUUAGUUGGUGGUGUAAUGGCUUACCAAGACUAUGACACAUAACUGGUUUGAGAGGAUGAUCAGUCACACUGGAAAUGAGACACGGUCCAGACUCCUACGGGAGGCAGCAGUGGGGAAUAUUGCACAAUGGACUAAAGUCUGAUGCAGCAACGCCGCGUGGAGGAUGACACGUUUCGGUGCGUAAACUCCUUUUAUAUGAGAAGAUAAUGACGGUAUUAUAUGAAUAAGCACCGGCUAACUCCGUGCCAGCCGCCGCCGUAA